GGCAUUCUGUCUAUCUACAACUACAAAAAUAAAAAAAGAUUACAUGGGAGGCUGGGCACAGUGGCCACACCUGUAUUCCCAGCAGCUUGGGAGGCUGAGGCUGGAGGAUUGCAAGCUCAAGGCCAGACUCAGCAGUUUAUUGAGACCCUAAGCAACUUAGCAAGGCCCUGUCUCUAAAUAAAAAGUAAAAAGGGCUGGGGAGGGGCUGGGUUGUGGCUCAGUGGUAGAGCACCCUUGGGUUCCAUCCCCAUUGCCAACAGUAAAGCGAAUAAAACUCAGAGGGCAAAGCAGUGUGUUUGGGGUGUGAUGACAGCAGUGUCCACGUCACCAGACAGCAGUCAUCACAGGAAUGUGCCCAGCACAGGAAAGCAAAGGUAGGGAAACUCGGAAAUUUGAGUAGAAGAUCUCAUUGCAGCAGAGCACGUUCACACAGAGGAAGAGAGGGGACGAGGCUUCGAGCCAGUGAUGUUUCCCUGUGGCUCGUUUGUCAGCCAAGCAAAGAAAGCCAUUUACUGUGGGUGGCUCAGUGGGAGGCUGCAGCAGAGGAAGCAGAGGAAGCAAGUCUAAGGCUACCGGCCUUUCAGCACAAAGGUGUUCUGAGAGAGAAGAACUGAGAACUACGAUAGUCCAUCAGAGCAAGAGAAUGGCUGGAAGUCGUUUCCCGGGGCUCUUGCUGAGUGGACAGAUGCUACUGCUGAUCUGAGGAGUCAUGCCCUGGAGGCUGAGCUGGGCACUGGAAACCAGCCCCAAGCAAAGGCGGCAGAGAACUACAGCUGCAGGCAGGAGGAUCUGCACGUUCAGCAAGACCCACUCAGUCUGAGAGGACUGUGCUAAUAGGCGCCCAAACUGACCAUGGUUUAGAAACCAUGUGGGAGCAGAAACACGAGCUGGACUGGCAGAGUCUGUGAGAACCUCAAG
rnacentral:lncRNA from 1 species